rnacentral:lncRNA from 1 species
GUUUUAUUUUUGUACUAUCAAUUCCAAGUUGACUUUCCACAGCAGUCACUGAGAGUGAGAGAAGGUAUUUCACUUCGUACCUUAUCACCUAUUUUCCUACGUGAAUUCUAGGUGGAACCCCAUUCCUAACUCUUUAAAUAUUUAAUUUCCUUUGGGUCAGUGGGCAUGACUCCUUUCCGUACACAUUACUCUGUUUAAAUUGCGAUCGGUUUUAAUAUAAUACGAUGUCUAUCGACAGAACGAGUUAAUUUUUCUUGACAUAUCGUCGUUUGACGAAAGUUACUUAUGGAAGGGAGAACUCGAAGCAAUAAUAUGGAAGACUCCAUUUGACUGAAGGGCUGUUCUAGUUGCACCUUUACGUUGUGGACUACAUUUAUUUUAAUUUAAAUGAUGCAUAUGAUUUAAAAUUAUGCAACAACAAUAACCCUCAAUAGCAGACAGACAUAUAAAGGAUCUCGUGAGUUUCAAAUUAAUCAAUGGAGUGGGGAAUCCAGAGCAACCAUUCAAUCUGAUACCCCUUCAAGUCAAGAAAACUAUAUGCAUGCGCAUAAUUACCUAAACAAACCCUAGACUUGUGAUUUGUAGCAAGGACAUAUAUUAAAUGUUAAUUAAAAGACCUCCAUUUCUUUAUGGAAGUACAAUAUCAAAUAUCAGUUUCAUAACGGUGACAUAUAAGAAAACUCCACUUCAGUUCUUAUAUGACAGAAAUAGAUAUAU